AGCGAACGCUGGCGGCAUGCCUAACACAUGCAAGUCGAACGAGACCUUCGGGUCUAGUGGCGCACGGGUGCGUAACGCGUGGGAACCUGCCCUUAGGUUCGGAAUAACUCCCCGAAAGGGGUGCUAAUACCGGAUAAUGUCUUCGGACCAAAGAUUUAUCGCCUUUGGAUGGGCCCGCGUUGGAUUAGCUAGUUGGUAGGGUAAAAGCCUACCAAGGCGACGAUCCAUAGCUGGUCUGAGAGGAUGAUCAGCCACACUGGGACUGAGACACGGCCCAGACUCCUACGGGAGGCAGCAGUGGGGAAUAUUGGACAAUGGGCGAAAGCCUGAUCCAGCAAUGCCGCGUGAGUGAUGAAGGCCUUAGGGUUGUAAAGCUCUUUUACCCGGGAUGAUAAUGACAGUACCGGGAGAAUAAGCUCCGGCUAACCCCGUG
rnacentral:rRNA from 1 species